UUGAGUUUAUUAAAUUAUAAAUGGAUUGAUUGUUAUAUAUUAUAUAAAACAAUAGUUACCAUUUUGCCAUUAGUUUAUUUUUAAUGAAUUAUCGAAAAUGAGGUCUGAUAGACACCACAUCAGUAGAAUCUCUCUAAAAAAGUCACCACGGUUGCAGAGGGUUAAUACCACACACGAUUGGUUUCUGAACAAUUUUUUUUUCCAUACAAAAAAAGAUGACGUCAUAACUCUUCUACUUUUUUUUCUUUUGGUGCUACGGGUCAAAUUGAUUCAAAUGGUCUAAAGAUAAAUCGUACCGAUUUUCAUACCAUUAACCCCAUUUGCAGCUAAUUCCCGAAUUUCAGGCUGUACCGCUAACACUAUUUUCGUGAUAAACUUGUUUUACAUACAAAAGUAACAAUGAUAAGGUUAGACAUAGGUACAUAAUUACAUAUUGUUUACCAUGAAAUGGGCUCGCCUCAGCAUAAUGCCGACCCGAGAGUCGGCGCUGGUCUUCCGGCGAGUCCAUUUUUGUGGGCCACGAUCACAGCUGUGCUACGUCUGAUGAUGCCAAUUUGACAUAAAAUUCUCAGUACGGUCAUAAUACAUGAUUCGUCUAGCUCAGGUGAAUGUGAUGAUCCGGCCGAUGCAACUUAUAUUCCAGAGGAGGAGAGUAUGGAUACUUCAGACAGUUCAACGGGUUCUCCACAUUUUGGAUUCCUAGCGGGCUCGUCCGAUCCAGAUGCUCCACGGACUUAUACAAGAAGCACUGAGUGGUCCAGAUGCUGCCAAUUGGAGGGAAGUCUUAAUCAUAUAUGCUCGAGCAACAGCUGUCAGGUCAAAGAUUAAGUCACAAAGAAAUAUCCCAAUCACGUAAAAGGAAACGGUCACACAGUUCAGACCCACCUACAUCAAGACAGUCGCAUUUACUGGAUCAUGAUUAUUGUAAAAAAAAACAAGAGCAGCUUCCAAUCACCUAAAAGAAAAAAGUUAUCUGCUACUACAG